rnacentral:tRNA from 1 species
GGGCCCAUAGGCUAAUGGUAAACUGCUUCUCUCCAAAAGAAGAUUUCGAGGUUCGACUCCUCGUGGGCCCG